GACGAACGCUGGCGGCGUGCUUAACACAUGCAAGUCGAACGGAAAGGCCCUGCUUUUGUGGGGUGCUCGAGUGGCGAACGGGUGAGUAACACGUGAGUAACCUGCCCUUGACUUUGGGAUAACUUCAGGAAACUGGGGCUAAUACCGGAUAGGAGCUCCUGCUGCAUGGUGGGGGUUGGAAAGUUUCGGCGGUUGGGGAUGGACUCGCGGCUUAUCAGCUUGUUGGUGGGGUAGUGGCUUACCAAGGCUUUGACGGGUAGCCGGCCUGAGAGGGUGACCGGCCACAGUGGGACUGAGAUACGGCACAGACUCCUACGGGAGGCAGCAGUGGGGAGUAUUGCGCAAUGGGCGGAAGCCUGAUGCAGCAACGCCGCGUGCGGGAUGAAGGCCUUCGGGUUGUAAACCGCUUUCGCCUGUGACGAAGCGUGAGUGACGGUAAUGGGUAAAGAAGCACCGGCUAACUACGUG
rnacentral:rRNA from 1 species